UGCGCAGGCGGUCCGUUUUGUGGGUGGUGAAAUCUCCUGGCUCAACUGGGAGGGUGCCAACCAAACGGGCGGACUUGAGGCGUGGAGAGGGACGUGGAAUUCCGGGUGGAGCGGUGAAAUGCGUAGAGAUCCGGAGGAACACCGACGGCGAAGGCAGCGUCCUGGCCACGACCUGACGCUCAGGCACGAAAGCUGGGGGGAGAAACA
rnacentral:rRNA from 1 species